rnacentral:rRNA from 1 species
ACGGGUGAGUAAUGCCUAGGAAUCUGCCUGGUAGUGGGGGACAGCGUUUCGAAAGGAACGCUAAUACCGCAUACGUCCUACGGGAGAAAGCAGGGGACCUUCGGGCCUUGCGCUAUCAGAUGAGCCUAGGUCGGAUUAGCUAGUUGGUGAGGUAAUGGCUCGCCAAGGCGACGAUCCGUAACUGGUCUGAGAGGAUGAUCAGUCACACUGGAACUGAGACACGGUCCAGACUCCUACGGGAGGCAGCAGUGGGGAAUAUUGGACAAUGGGCGAAAGCCUGAUCCAGCCAUGCCGCGUGUGUGAAGAAGGUCUUCGGAUUGUAAAGCACUUUAAGUUGGGAGGAAGGGUUGUAGAUUAAUACUCUGCAAUUUUGACGUUACCGACAGAAUAAGCACCGGCUAACUCUGUGCCAGCAGCCGCGGUAAUACAGAGGGUGCAAGCGUUAAUCGGAAUUACUGGGCGUAAAGCGCGCGUAGGUGGUUUGUUAAGUUGGAUGUGAAAUCCCCGGGCUCAACCUGGGAACUGCAUCCAAAACUGGCAAGCUAGAGUAUGGUAGAGGGUGGUGGAAUUUCCUGUGUAGCGGUGAAAU